UUAGGUCGUAGAUCCCUUUCUUCUUGUUGAUUGAGGGGCAGAGGAAUUCCGGGAACAUUGAAUCGAAUCGGGCGACACCUCCUGGAGACAAUCGGUUGAGUGAGGACCUGCUCUGUGGAUUUCAAAUUGAAUGCUGUGAGUUCUUGAUUCCAGCAAUUUCUUGGUCUCGGCAGCAACAAUCCUCUUGUCCCAAUAGCCACAGUAGCUGUGGAAUUGAGGACUCUGAUUCGAGACGGGCGUCUCGAC